AGCCGCUCCCGAGUCUGCGGCGGGCCCGGCGGCAGGCGCCGCCAGGGGCCCAGGGAAGGGGAGGAGCCCAGGAGCUGCCCCCUGCCCCCAGACGCAGGAACUCAGCGGGGGUAGGAUUUCCGUGGGAGAAGACCCCAGAACGGCUGGGACCCAGAGCUGGCGGGCCCUGAGGGCGAGCAGCGCGGCACGGCACCGGGCGGGGUUCCAGGAACAAGAGCGUCACAGACAGAUUGUCCCACUCCCGGUCUCUGCUGCCGCAGGACGCUGCCCCUUCAUGCAGCCGUUGUCUACACUGUCGGGACCCUUGGGGUGCAGAGGCCAAACUCCGUGCGCCAGGGGCGAGGCGGCUUUUCAACGUUACUCAGAAAAACCAGCAUCAUACUGCGGCCCCAGGACCACAAAAAAUGUCUCCUGUGCAGUUGGCGGAACCGAGGGACACCUCGUCCUCGAGCGGGAGCCACGCCGAAGAGCGAACACACACCACACACACCGGAGCCUGCGGGGAAGGGCGUGGAGCCGCGUGGGAGCCGCGGAGGAGAGAAGGCAGGAGCGGUUUGGACGGCACCCUGGGAGGGAUUUUUGUCAGGAAUUCGCGAGAGGGAUUGAAUGUCCUAAAAUCGACCACAAUUCUCCAUUGUUCCAGGAAAGAGCACACUAGUACCCACCCCCCCCAGCGUGUUUGGGAAAAUGUUCGCAUCCGCACAGCAGGGGGGAGGAAACAGGAAACCAGGAUCAAGACACAGGAUUGGCCCAGCAUGAACGUCCAUCAGGAAGGCCUGGUGCUUCUCUCUAGGACGGGUGGUGAGGACGCUGCGGCUGUCUACUUCCAUGGUGGGGGCCAGGCUCAGGGUGAAUCCAAUGGCAGAACCGAGAGAGGUCCCGAGCACAGAAGCUGGUUCUUGUGACCUCACUGGGAUGCCUACAUCAAGCCUUUCCUGCAUCCAGUUGUCGCUGGUCAGUAACAUUCCCUUCCAGGUCUAAGCCUGCUGAUGUGGGGUUUUCUGUCACUUACAAUGCACAUUCCUAGAGGACACCACUGCCCAGCCCUGGGCUUGGUCAUGGUAAGUAUUCAGUCCACUGCAUUUAUUCCAUGAGAGUUGCCCUGGGGUCAUAGGGCAGAUGCUGCCUUUGCCCACCCCACCCCCAUCGGCUCCCUCAAUUCCUCACCAGACCCCUUAUCAGGCACCUCUGCAUACCCAGAACCUUUCGUGUGGACCACUCAAAAUACACUGGAGCUCAAACACGUAAGCUGGAUGAAUGGUCACUCCAAGAUGGAAUUGCUGUGGAUUUCAAAACGAGGUGCACCUGCUCAAAGUCAGCCUGCACGCCAGUUCCGCCCGACCCCCGCCCUGUCCAGGAGGACAUAAAGGUGCUGAGAGGGGACUUUGGAGGAGAGAGUCUGGGUUAUGUUUGGAGAGUCUUAGCCAUUCUGUAAAUGCUCACUGUCCCCACACAAGGGGGACAUGUGUGAAUGCUUCCAGGCUCACUUGGAGGCCCUGGAGACUGUGCACUGGGGUCUGAUGCUAGAGGGAUCCAGUGUCACCCAAGGCAUUGCCAAGAGAAGGGAGUCCAGAGGGUGCUGCCCUGGGAACAGCCCACUUCCCAGAGUCCCUCAGGGUCGAGGAUGCCAGGUGCUCCCCGGAUCCCCAGGCUGAGAGGAAGUGGGCACUCACAGAGGAGCCUGCGUGCAGAGAACAGUGCAGAAGACAGAUGCUGAGGAUCCCAGGAGCGGCCGUCUGCAGGAACGCAGCGUCCUUCUCAUCGCGGGAGUUGCAGUCGGCAGAGGUCACGUGGAACCUUCCACGAGCUGUCAAACCACCCAUGCAAGACAGACGGCUGAAAGCAGGAAGCGGUCCACGCCAGCAGGCAGGGUGGGAGUAGGGUAGAAGCUACAGGUGAACUAAGAAGGCAGUGGCCUCCUGCCCCAUCGGGACUUUAGGUUAAACUAAUCUCUGAAUGGUGUGUGGGCCGCACACCUGAGCAUGAGCAGGCGGGUCCUGACACCUGGCCCGGUUUUCACCUGAAGUAGACACUGCCGCCUCCCACCGAGUGCACUCUAAAGAGGGGUGCAGCAGGAGAGAGGGCUGCUGCAUCCUGACUGCAUGACAGGGGAUGUCUGCUCGCUACCCAGGUGUGCACACCCAGGGCUUCCACCAGCUGCACGCUGGACUGUGCCUGUCCCCUGCGCUCACCAGCACCAGCGCUUGUUACAUAUGUUUAUCUUUCACAGCUUAAUUACUGUGUGAGGUGAGGCUGCAUUAUGGAGUGUCAAUGCUCUAAUGACCCACAAAGUGAGAUGUCGUUUUCACUUUGCUGGGAACACCCUGUCUGGGAGGGUCAAAGUUGUUACAAGCCCCUUCCGUUUAUGAUGAUUUUCCCCUUGUCUUAGGACCUUGUGCCGGCCCCUCUGUGCGGCUCUUCAUCUCGCUAUGCCCUGUUAAGUUCUGGAUGUAGCUCGGCCCUGCCAGGGGUUUGUGUGCUGGAGCCUCGGUGGGGCCAUGUUAAGAGGCAGUGGGGUGGGGGUGGGGCAUAGUGGGUAAAGCCAGCAAUGCAGGUGGGCACAGGUUCGAGUCCCAGCUGCUCCACUUCCAAGCCAGCUCUCUGCUAUGGCUCCAGGCUCCUGGCUUCAGAUCAGCACAUCUUGGCCAUUGUGGCCAUCUCAGGGGUGAACCAGCGGAUGGAAGACCUCUUUCUCUCUGUUUCCCUAUAACUCUGACUUUCAAAUAAAUAAAUAAAUAAAUAGGCAGUGGGACCUUUAAGAGGCGGGGCCCAGUAGGAGGUGGUUACGGACCCCUGCUGGCUUUCUGUGUCACUGUGUCUCCUCUCCCUCAAGUGCCCAGGCUGAUGCCAUUCUCUGCGAGGCCCUUCCCAGAGCCAGGGCCAUGCUCCUUGGACUCUCAGCCUCUAAAAUUGUGAGCGAAAGGAGGUAAACUUGUCUUCCUUACAAGCACCCAGCCUUAGGUAUUCCAUCAGAGUUACAGGAAACGGACCAAAGCUGCACUAGUUCUACCGUGGAACAAUCCUUUCUUUGCAGAGAUCCAGCCCACGGCCACAUCACUGGGUCAAGGCACAGGCACUGGCUUUGAAUGCCGGCAGCCUGGGUUCAACACAGUGUUCUGUGAUUCUAGUAAGUUCUUACUUUCCUCUCUUAAACAGGGUCCAGAGCCUCAGUCCUAUCCUGGAAAUGCAGCUGGCCCCGCUGUAUGAUGGCUCUGCUUAGGGAUUCCCGACUGCAGUGUUACGAAAGCAACACACACGCAGUACUGUGCUGCAGCUUCCACGUGUUAGUAACUUUGGUCUGUUGCCAGGCUGAUGGUAGGCAGUGCAGUCCUCCAGCCAGCCGUGCGGCCACACAGGGAAAACCGCAGUGCUGUAGAGUGUGCUGCUCAGCCCCUAGCACCUUCAGCUCACGGCCGGCUCACCAGGUCACGACCAUCGGAAGUCCAGGCCCAUCAGUUGCAGUGGGUGGCUGUGGGCAAUAAGACUCCCUGCGUAAAGCCCACGGCACAGUCACUGCACUUAAACAGCAGGGGGCGAGUUUUCAUAUUGUCACUACACCUCCCUGUCUUUUUCUUCCUUACAUCAUUGAGACAACAUGCAACUACCUGUUCUUUUAAUUUUUUAAUAAUUUCUAAAUCACCAGGAAUUCCUCACAGGGUCUGGGACCUGAUAUGGAUUAAGAUUUCUCUUUCCCUAGAUUAAAAUCCUGUUUUCCCAUCUACCUGUGUUUAAUACCUUCUCCAUAUCAUAAGAAAUGACUCUUACGAAUUGAUUUUUUCUUUUUUUUUUUUUUUUUGACAGGCAGAGUGGACAGUGAGAGAGAGAGAGACAGAGAGAAAGGUCUUCCUUUUGCCGUUGGUUCACCCUCCA